AGUGAGAGGAAGAGCUCAAGUUGGAACCUGUUUGGCCUAGCUAAACCGGAUUGUAUACUGUAUAAGUGUUUUCCAGGCGGCCGAGUAAAUAAGUCCUUUGGAACAGGGCAUCAUAAAGGGUGAAAAUCCCGUCUUUGGCUUGAGCAUUUGCCUUUUGUGAUACGCUUUCAAGAGUCGAGUUGU
rnacentral:rRNA from 1 species